UAUCCGCUUGCUACUCACGGUCAGUUGUACCGUACAUAUCACAGAAAAGACGAGUGCCAUACAAAUACACUGUGUUGUACUUUCAGUUCUCAUAUUAUAAGAUCUAUUUUUAUCGAUCACGAUUUGCAUCCAAAGCAGAUCCGCACGGCGCACACGCAGCGCGACCACUGCCAGUCAUUGGUUCGUUUCAGCGGUGUAAUUUUGUAUAUACUUCUAUGCAAACCCAGCAGGCGUUCUUAUCAGAUGCAGCAAAUUUAAGUUAUUUUGAAGUCUAACAAAGCGCUUUUAUACUACAAAGACCAUUCGAAUUUUAAGUUACGGUAACAAUUUUUGAAUUGUACAUAUAAACUGUACAUGUUUAGUGAAACCACACGACCUUUUGACUUUUUGCGAUGUGUUGCUCGGGUAGGCGUAAAGUGCCAGUAGCAAAGCUUUGUACUAUCGUUCCAUGGCUGAACAGGAAACACAGAAAAAGGAUCUCACUCUGUGUCAAAUCUGACAUUUACGACGACUGUCCGCAUCCGCAUCACGAGAAAAUUGUUUAUCGUACAAUUCAGCCUAUAUAUCAGCAAUUGUGGAUGAAUUUCAUUCUUUCCACUUUGCGAUUCGUCUUGGAAGGCAUUGUUUUGUUAUGGGCGGCUCACAAAGUUUUGGUAACCGAUUAUGGCACUCCGAUUGCUUACGCCAAUAAAACAAACGAAGAUUGCAACAGUACGAACAUAGUGGACUCCAACUGGAAAUUCUGGCUUUUGUGGGCCAACACCGGUGCGCUGAUCACCCUGAUUUGGCUGCUCUCUGUGGUGGUUUUAAAUAGAAUAUAUAUGUUAGUAAAGACUGGACAGUGGCGUCCGGGGGCGGGAAAACCUCAGUUUCGCGAGAUUAUCUUCUCCUUGGUGGCAGUCAAGCAAAUGCUUGAGGGCAUAACGGUAACGACUAGCUGCCUCGGAUUGCUAAUGUCCUUGUGUUGGAUCAUUUCAACCUGGUAUUCACAUGAGUGUCCGACCACGACAAAUCUGAACAUCGAUCCGAUCAUUGGUCUGUUUAUCACGCCAUGGAUCGUUUUAGCCGCUGCGAUCGUGUUCAAUGCACGUUUAUGCUGCUCAAAAAUAUAUCUUUUGACAAGCCAUCGGCAGCGGCUUCGGUUCCGCAGUUGCACGGAGAUCCAGAUGACACGUCGGUUGCUCCGAAUGUCCGUCGUAUGGCCCAUUGUGCGCGAGGAGGACCGCCCCCUAGCCGGCACCAAAACGUUGCCUGGGUGGUGACCGUUUUACACGCGUAAAUGUCGAGGUCAUUAUUUUACUUAGUAAAAUAUUUAGGGUUUUUAAGUUCCAAAGUUACCGACACCCCGUACAGUAUUUUCUGAAUGUCUUAUUGUCAAGGGAAUCUUACGUCACCGUACCGACAAUUUCCCUAUCCAAGUUGCGCUUAAACGGUUUUCAGGCCAAUGGGUACCAAUAUAGCUUAAACUACGUCAAAAAAUCAUUUAGCUUACACUACGUCAAAAAUCCAUGGAAAAAAAGCGUUUGGGAGCGAAAGCAAGAGUUCCCGUGUGUGUACCGUGUGCAAGUACAUGAAUUUGGUACUGUACCAUUUUGAUUUACUCGGUCACUUCCUUUUAAGCACUGUACGUUGGCAACCGCAGGGCUAUGCGCCGCAAAAUUAUGGUAAAGAUAGUCGCAAAAUAUGCAAUAAAGGCUCAGUUUUUCUAGGGUUACGUACGUGUAGAAGUUCUGUAACGUUGAGACACUUUACCUGAUCCUUCUCGUCAUUCUUAUUAAUACUGGAGCGAGUGUUUACUCUCUUGUUACGUUUGGCGUUACGGUUUGUGCAUACUGUACCGGCCCACCGGGCAGUGUAUGACACUGUAUUUACUCUGUAUCUUUAUUUUGCCAACAACACAGUUACCAAGAGACAGCGCUUUUUGAAAAAGAAGGCAGUAUGGAUCCAGUAGUGGAAUUCAGUGUGUUAUUAAAUAUCGAAGCUAAAAAUUAGCCCAUCAAAACAAAAAUGUUGGCACAGAUGAUUACGUACUAUUUUGCCACAUACAAUUGCCUCCAGAUUAUAAUAAUUCGGCAGUUUUCGGGACAACAAUUGUAAAAUUAAAGUUAUCUUUUCGGAACACUCUUCCUGAUUUUAUUUGGCGGUGCAUAGGCGGCAUCUGGAGAAGGACGGGUUUAAAAGUCAAAGAUCUGCAAAGUAUUCUGCAUGAUUAUAAAAGUAAACUCGGUAAAGCAUCCUCCCCAACAGAACCAUCGCAGUUGAUUCACGUUUUCCACACGAAAACACCAAGCAUUUUAAUGGCAAAUUCGUGAAAUCCUUUACCAUGAGCGGCGUUGUCCAGCACACUUCCACCUCCGACGCGGAAGCGGUCGCUGUUGGUUCACACAGUGUGGCGACGCAGGAGACCACUCAUGUGGCCGUCGCCCCGCAUGAAGCACUCCCGUCGGCCGUCGGUAUCCUUCCGCAGUGUCGUUCUGGUGUACGCUAUACCAAGGCGCAAUGCGUACGAGUACUUGUUAUUGUAUUCUCCCGCAUCGGAAUGGAAGCGUGGUUACCGCCGUGAAAGCGUCCUCGGAAACGAUGGCCAUUAUUCCCAUGGCCACCACGACUCAGCGCGCUGUGCAAUGCAGUGAUGAUUUUGUUUCCGAAUGCUGAUUGAGUGUUAUAUCGAAUUUGUGUUAACGGGAAGGCUGAAAUGAAGUAUUCAGCGUUGCGCAGGUGGGCAAUGCGAUGCUCGUGGAACUUAUUCUGCAUUCAAAUGGACACGAUUUCUGCAUGGUGUUGCCGAAGUGUGGCGUCCCUGUUAAAGACUUGGAGCGAUGCCGAUCGAAGUAUCAGCAAAGGACAAACCUAAACUUUAAAGCAAAAAAGGUCACACUACAAAAAGAACACACUGCAAGUGAUUUUAGCCGAAUCAUUCCUUGAAGCGACAAGCGACUUGAGAGAGAUUCCUGGGAAGGAGAUGGAGUCGCCCCGGACAAUGUUGGUGGUACCGCCAGAAUGGGAAAGCACAGUCGGUCUCGCAGAUCGUGUAUUACCUGAAACACAAGACACGGCAGCAGCAGUUUGUUCGUACGAUGUUUCCUGUAAUCCGAACUCAUCCGGUUUUCUGAUAGUCUGUAUUAUAUCGCCCGAUCCCAAGUGCAAGGAGCAGCAGAUAUCGUUUUUUUAUCUCGCGAUUGCGGAUGCAGUUUAAUUAUUGCGGCCGUUGGAAAGGAGGAAACUGUGCUUUAUGGUUUGGAAUCUUCUGAAAAACAGUCGAGGAAGUUGUUCUCGCAUCCUAAUUUGCCCAUGGAUUAUUUAUGGUUGUCGGGAAGGCAUAUAACAAUAAAGAUCGACAUGAUUUCAACGACGUCUCCGAUGUGACAUGUUUUCCACUGGAACUGGAACAUAUAAUUGGUAACAGAAGUCUUCAAGGAAUCGUUGACGAUAGUCACGCAGGUAUGCUUUCUUUCUGCUUAUUGGAACUCCGUUUUCUUCCUUGCUUUUGUUAUAAGUUACUCUGGAUGAAGUUAAUGAGCCGCUCUACAUGGUAUGAUGGUCGAUGGUGUUUCCGGCCAAGAUCAUACGACCGUAUCUCCGUCUGUUUGUACGGAAACCGUUGCUGUUCUGCCUGGUGAUCGAACACUUAGCUUGGAUUAUGCGCACCUUGCAAAUGUCCCGACUACCGGGACGCCAGCUAUGGAGAGCGACAGUUUAUCUCAGCUGACUUCCGUCGCUGAACACAGUGAAAUUAGCAAUCCGGUGGCUGUUUCUGGUGAUACAGUCUGACGAGUGACGAGUGACUGAUGACGCAUGGCGCCCCGAUGACGCAUUGAAUCCAGAAAUUGAGAGUUCCGGUUGUCAUAUCGAUACGGUGGAGCGGAAAUUAAAGGGCAUCUGAACCUUUAUUCACCAUUCUCCAGUAUCGCCGGGAUCUGUUCUCGUUGUCCCGCCAACUAUGGAAGAUCUAAGUUAUAUAAGAAAUCUUUUUGAAUUCAGCUCACUCAAUGAUCUGGGUGUCCUGGCCAGUAGCCGCAGCAAAUUAUGUGAUCAAGUUUCGCGAUCUGUCAGCCCGGGAACAAUGAUGCAUUCUAACAAUAAGAGCGCUGCGCAGAGUAAUGCCGCCAGUAUUUACAUUGUUUCAUCCUACGGGGAUGUUUUUGAGUUUGCAUCAGUAAUUAAGGACAACGCUGUGUUCCGAAACCCGGGGCGAAUUUGACAUCGUUAGCCAUUCGAGCGUGCGAAAGAUUCCCGACAGCAUGGGCUGUAGUGCGUACCUGUCGUGGUGCUAGAUUCGACUGCACGGCGGAUCUCAGGCAUCCUGUAUAAUCUUUAUUUACCCCUCAAUAUUACAAAGGAGUCAAGGAUGCUCCAAAGUUUCCUAUUUUGUCUCCCUGCCAUGCAAUUUGAAAUCAACUGGAAACUAGAUUAUCAUUGCAAAUGGAUCGCGCAGUUCUACUUACCUCCAGAAAUACUGUUUGCUGCAAUGGAGAGAUUUUGAUUGUUUAGGGCUAUCUGCGACUGAAUCUCAUUCGUUCGUAUUUGUGUGGAAAUUCUUUGCUGAUUUACAGCAGGUGCCUUUUGGGGAUCAGCUACUGGAUUGCUCUGGACGCAUAAGUUUCUUUCUGGUGGACGAACAGCAAUUUCUUAUUUCUUUCUUCUUUCUUACGCGGAGGAAUAGUACGGCCAGUCAUAUUUACGAAAUCCAGUCAUUCCAGUGUGUGUUUGUGGAGCAUGAUGAUGAAGUAGUCUCGGGAUGGCAGUAACUGAAGCCUGUUUAUGAAUACUAUUGGAAGCUGUACUAAAAUCUGAUGGUUUUACGGGUUUUUUAGACGGAAGUGUGAAUUUUUUUGUUCCCUUAUAAUCUUGCCAGUGGUUGUAACACUUUAAGCUUUUUCGCUGGUAAUUGUUAAAAAUUGUAUUCAAAAACCUUUGGCUGUUGAUAUUGUUCAUAACAAAUUGCAAAGAAGUGAACUGUUCAAUGUAUUUUCGCGCUGUUAUGAACAAGAGCACAAUUACAUUGUUUUUUAUCAUGCAGUUGAGCUGCGAUACAUUACCAACUCCAUUUACAAUUUAUAUCGACGCCAAUUUCUCACUGGUCAGACGCGUAAGCCAUA